CAGCCGUAAACUAUGCGCGUUAGGUGUACUGGUGACCACGAGUCACCGGGGUGCCGAAGGGAAACCGUGAAACGUGCUGCCUGGGAAGUACGGUCGCAAGGCUGAAACUUAAAGGAAUUGGCGGGGGAGCACCACAACGGGGUGGAGCCUGCGGUUUAAUUGGACUCAACGCCGGAAUCUCACCGGAUAGGACAGACAUAUGAUAGUCGGGCUGAAGACUCUACUUGAUGAUCUGAGAGGUGGUGCAUGGCGUCAGUGACU
rnacentral:rRNA from 1 species